AAACUUUCAACAACGGAUCUCUUGGCUCUGGCAUCGAUGAAGAACGCAGCGAAAUGCGAUACGUAGUGUGAAUUGCAGAACUCAGUGAAUCAUCGAAUCUUUGAACGCACAUUGCGCCCGCUAGUAUUCUGGCGGGCAUGCCUGUUCGAGCGUCAUCU
rnacentral:rRNA from 1 species